UACGUAGGGUGCGAGCGUUAAUCGGAAUUACUGGGCGUAAAGCGUGCGCAGGCGGCGCGUUAAGACAGGUGUGAAAGCCCCGAGCUUAACUUGGGAAUUGCGCUUGUGACUGGCGUGCUGGAGUGUGGCAGAGGGAGGUGGAAUUCCACGUGUAGCAGUGAAAUGCGUAGAGAUGUGGAGGAACACCGAUGGCGAAGGCAGCCUCCUGGGCCGAUACUGACGCUGAGGAGCGAAAGCGUGGGGAGCGAACAGG
rnacentral:rRNA from 1 species